rnacentral:rRNA from 1 species
CACCUGUUCCCAUACCGAACACAGAAGUUAAGCUCUUCAGCGCCGAUGGUAGUUGGGGCAUAGCCCCUGCAAGAGUAGGACGUUGCCAGGC